ensembl:lincRNA Gm43153 predicted gene 43153
CCUUUGCUUCCCCUCUCCUUCCUCCCUCUCCCUCUCCUUCUGGUCUUUCUUACUGUCAUUUUGGAAAGGAAACCGAUCAUGGCAGAACUAAGAGAUUACAGCUGGAGCCAGGAACUUAAGUCAGUCACGAGACUACUUCUGGAAGAGUGAGCCGCUGUCCCCUACUUCAAGCCACUUGUACCUCUGAUCCACACCCAAGCACCACACCAAAGCAAGAAGGAUGAGCUUCAGUUUCGAAGGCGCCAGCCACAAAUGAGAAAGUCACCUGGCCCGCAAAAUAAAUUCCUGUCAAAGCACUU